rnacentral:rRNA from 1 species
AAAUUGAAGAGUUUGAUCAUGGCUCAGAUUGAACGCUGGCGGCAGGCCUAACACAUGCAAGUCGAGCGGUAGCACAGAGAGCUUGCUCUCGGGUGACGAGCGGCGGACGGGUGAGUAAUGUCUGGGAAACUGCCUGAUGGAGGGGGAUAACUACUGGAAACGGUAGCUAAUACCGCAUAACGUCGCAAGACCAAAGUGGGGGACCUUCGGGCCUCAUGCCAUCAGAUGUGCCCAGAUGGGAUUAGCUGGUAGGUGGGGUAACGGCUCACCUAGGCGACGAUCCCUAGCUGGUCUGAGAGGAUGACCAGCCACACUGGAACUGAGACACGGUCCAGACUCCUACGGGAGGCAGCAGUGGGGAAUAUUGCACAAUGGGCGCAAGCCUGAUGCAGCCAUGCCGCGUGUGUGAAGAAGGCCUUCGGGUUGUAAAGC